GACACAGGGAGGCAGGCAGAGAAAACCAAGGAAAAAGCAGAAUAACUGACGAAAAGGACCAUCAGCUGGGCUGACACCACAGAGUCCUGUUUGUGCAUUGAAGAGGAAAAGGCAAAAUUUGCUGUUCUUUGUCAUGGAUGAUUUUGUUCGGAACAAAUUAACUGAAUGGGGUCUCAGCGAGUUGAGAGAAAGAUUUGAAGAUGAAGGGAUUGACGAGGAAAGUCUUUACUGUCUUUGUGAUCAAGAAAUUAAUAACCUGAUCACAAAGUUGGGACCAAGGGCAAAAUUCAAGAAGAGACUCAAGUCCUUAAAGAAAGAAGAAAAUACAACAAAUCAAACAGUUGAUUCUUCUGCUCAAUGUAACCAGGAGCAUGAAGAAGCAGCUGAUUCUGCUCAGGUUUGGCCAUCAACCAGUGACACAAGUGAUAAAGGUAAGAGAAAGUUAGAUCUUCAGGGCGAGUCCAGCAAAUGGCAAUCACCAAUGAAAAAACGACAAGAUGACAUUGGAUCAUUCUCAGAAAAAAUCAUACUGUCUGAAGUGAAAAACAUCAUGAGAUGUGUCAAUAAUAGAAUACCUAACCAUGGCAACACAAAGUUCAAUACCUUCCUAAGGGAUAAAAUCAAAGAUUUGGAGACGGACCAGAGGGAGCUGGUCGGUGUCUUUGGUAAAACUGGGGCUGGAAAGAGCACUUUGAUAAACGCAGUCAUCGGAGAGAAGAAUCUCUUGCCCUCUGGAAGUGUCAGGGCAUGUACCACAGUCAUGAUUAAAGUGGAGGCUAACAUGCAGAGCUCAAAGUAUGAGGCAGAAAUUGAGUUCAUUACAAAAGAGGAGUGGAAAGAAGAGUUGUGGCCCUUGGAUAAUUUCCUUGUGGAUAAUUCAGAUCAGGAAAAAAAUGAUGAUGAUUAUAGUGACUUAGUUGAAAAGCUGUCAGCGCUGUAUGGAGAAGAAUGGAAAGACAAAUCCUCUGAAAAACUCAUGGAUCAUAAAUAUUUUAGAGAAAUUUCAGAAUUUCUCCGUUCCGAAAGGAAGAUUUUGACAUGUGAAUCGGCUAAAGAGCUGUCUGCAAAAUGUGUCAAAUACACAAGAAGUGACACUAAAGACGGAGAAGGGAAUAAAGUAAAGAGGUGGUAUUGGCCACUAGUGAAGUGUGUGACUGUCAGGGUGCCUGGGAAUGAUCUUCUCCAGCAUGUCACACUUGUGGAUCUUCCUGGAAAUGGGGACCGUAACAAGAGUAGAGAUGAAAUGUGGAAAGAGAUUGUUGGGAGUUGUUCUACUGUGUGGAUUGUGACUGAAAUUAAUCGAGCUGCAGCAGAGAGAGAAUCCUGGGAGAUCCUGGAAAGUGCCAGUAGCUUCAUGGGAAAUGGUGGCCAGUGUCAGCGGAUUCACUUUAUCUGCACCAAAUCGGAUCUUAUUGAAGAUUUGGAUGAUCCUUCAGCACCUGGUGUUCGUGCUCUCAUAUUUAAAAGCAACAUGCACACCAAGGACGAAGUGAGAAAAGAAUUCAGCAAACUUAACCAGGUUAAGAAACACUUCAGUGAUGACUGUUUCAAAGUGUUUACUGUGAGCCCCAAGGAGUUUCUAAAGAGAAAACAUCUAAACCCAGAUGAAACAGAAAUACCCAAACUUCAGGAAUUUCUGCAAAAGCUCAAUGACCAUCAUUCAGAGACAUUUAACUAUGUGUCUGGAGCUCAUGGGAUUCUCUCUCUGAUGCAAGGGGCCAAAUCUAGAGAAGUUGCUGACGAAAAAACAAAAGUAUACACAGACCUUGAAGAAAAGCUGAGACAUGAACUUGACAAAGUCAGAAAACCCAUGGAAGAGGCUCAUAAGGUUUUUGAAAAAUGCCUGAGUGAGGGGGUUGAAACAUCAGAAAGUUCAUGUGUAAAAGUCUUGAGUCGUGUCUUAGAGCCUAGAUGGGUAAAAGGUGGUGCUUUUCACAAGAUAUUGAAGUGUGUUGUUAAGAACGGUGGCACCCACAAACCAAAAGGAAGGAAACAAAUAAACCUCAAUGCAGAAUUAGUUUCCCACCUGACCAACAGCAUUGAUGAGGAAUUCAAGAAGGCCUUCCCAAAUGAAAGAAAAUGUGAACCAUUCAACGGGGUCAUCAACACGUUUUCACUUGACACAGAGACGCUGAUACAAAAGCACAAAGAUGUCGAACUGCAACUGAAAUUUCUCAAGACAGAGGAAGAAAAAAUUAAGACAAAACUCAACAAAAUCAUCCGGGAGCGUAAGAAAAAAGUCUACAGCAGUCUGAUGGCAACAAUCGAGAUGACCAUGGAAAAGUGCUAUACAAAAGCAGCAGCAUUUCGAGGAGAGGGUGUGCUGCAAAACAUGAAGGACACUAUUGAGAGACAUGUUCAUGAUUCAAAGAACACCAUGUUUAAGCAGGCUAAAGAUGUUAUGUUGAACCAGCUGAGAGACUUGAAGGAGGAAAUCCUGAAGAUACUGGAGGAAACAAUUCAGGAAUCAAUCGACCUGUCACUCAAGACAGAUGCUGUCUCAAUCCCAGAUGUUACAGCAGACCUUGAAAUGGUGAAGAAAUACCACAAUGACAGGGAAAACAGAUGAAGAAACACUAAUUUGUGCUGAUCCACCUGGUCCAGCAGCUGCACCUUGGUACGUGCAGGUACGGUUCGCUCAGUCGGGAGAAACAGCAGAAGUCUGAUUAUCCACUGAAGCUCUCUGCGGUCACACAGUCAAUCCUCUGGAUUUGGUCUCAUCCAUUUUUAUCAAGUUAUUUCUGUCCUCUUUGAGUUUUGUUUUGAUGUCUACUUUAAGAUUGUUUGUUGUGAAUUACAUGUAGGGAUUUUAGAUUUUUUUUUGGGCGGGAACAACAUUUUUGAUCUUUAAAGGGGUAUUAUGGAGUUUUCAGCGGCCACUAGAAGUGCGGUUUUAAGUUUGAACCAGGUGUGUGCUCGUAUGCGUGCUCGCUUGAACUCAUGGCACAGCAUGUCGGCUGUGGCUUUUCUCCAGACAUGUUCAGGCUCUGUUACUUCAAUGUUCCUGGCUCAGAGGCAGCUCAACACUGACGCCAUACCUUUCUUUCAGCGCAGUGAGACUCCUGCAUAAUGGCACAGUACUCCCAGAAAAAAGGCAGUGUGACAGUGGCUAUAGACAUACAGGGAGAACAGACUGGAAACACAGGUAAACCCCUACUGCAACGUUACAGUAAUAGUUUUAUCAGCUGCAAGUUAAACUUAUCCAUGCUGGUUACAUGAUAACAUUUACUGCAUUUAGCCGACAUGCUACAUCAGCGUUAGCUUGCCUGCUGCUUUUCAGUAACUAACUUUACUUUGUGUGUCUUUCAAAGGAGGUACAGCAAUGUCAACACAGCAAAAUGUAUUGGAUGAUAAUGAAACGGUUAGUGAGCUGGAGUAUUUUAUAUUAUGUGGAUCAUGUUAGUUACAGAGACUCGGGCUGCUUCUGCCCUGCAUCACUAUAGGCUAGUAAACAAAUUGCUCCACAUUUGCUUUAUAUAGUUACAUCCAUUCUUGCAGGUGAAAAUCAACACUUUGACAUAAUACCAGUGGUACACAGGAUAGUAAUAUGGGUCGUGUUAGCUGGUGAAGUAAUCUGAAAAGCUAACGCGACUCUCUCCGUGGGUUUCUGGUGUGACUAUUUUUACCCGACUUGUUUGGUCUGACAGGCUUCAUUGCAUAAACCUUUAUUGUUAUAUUUAUCCUUACAUGGAGUUUGUGUUGGAGUCAGUGUUUUGUGGUGUAAGUGGACUGCAUGUAGUUAGCAACGGUGUUGUCGCUGUAGUCAGAGAGAGGCUCACAGAGCUGAAUCCGAACCGCUGUCCUCACAUUUAUAGCAGAAUAGUGGCUGAUGAAAACAGAGAAAACUGGCAUAUGCUUCAUUUCUAAGUGAGUUUUGAGCCCGUUGACAAUAAGGCAAUGAAAAUUUAUUGAUAAGUAAUUUAAUUGAAAAACUACAUAUAGCCCCUAGCUUUUCAAUUAUAUUACAUAUUAAUAAAUAAAAUUAAAUUUAUUUCGUUAACAUCCAAUACAUUUAGCUGUUCUCACAUUGCUGAGCCUAGUAAUAUCAGUUACUGCAGCAGGUGAGCUUAAGCCAAUGUAUCACGUCACCUAAAUGCUGUAAAUGUAACGUAAUCAUAUAACGAGCAUGGAUCAGUUCAACCUCAAGAUGAUAUAAAAAUAUUACUGUAACUUUGCAGUGGGAGUUUUCAGCACGUUGUGUUAAGGUGUCUCCCUGUCUGUCUAUAGCUGCUGUUACACAGCCUUUUUUUUCCCGGGAGUAUUAUGCCAAUAUGUGGCUCGCUGCUGUGUCUUAGCCAGGAACGUUGAAGUAACAGAGCCUGAACAUGUCUGGGGAAAAAAGCCACAGCUGGCAUGCUAUUGUUUCCGUGUUGCGGUUGUGUUUUGGAUUAUGCUCGCUCAUGAGUUCAAGUGAGCACGCGGACUUUUUGUUUUUAAUGAUCUUCUAGAAUGUAUUUUCAUGUUUUAUCUUAUAUGUUCUUAUUUUAUUAGUUUAAUUUUGGUUGAUUGGGAUGUGUGUGCUGCAAUUUCAGUGCUUUUAUGGGUGUCAUAGGUGGAUUUGAAUUUAGGCUUUUCAAAGAAUGAUCUUGAAUGCUUUUUUUCUUAACUAGAGCUCAACCGAUUUAUUGUUUUGCAGAUAUUAUCGGCCCAUAUACUUGCAGAUAUACCUGCAUCGGCAUUUAUAAUAGCCAAUAUGACUAUUAAAAAAGAGAAACAGAGUCAGAUCCUUCCCUCAUGUCGUGAGCGUUGCAUAGUUUGCCCACCAGAGUGCGCACUGCAAUAUGCACUGAUUCUAAAUGCAUACAAUCAAAAACAUGUGGUGCUUCAGUCAGUGCACAGCAACUGCCCACUACUCCCUUGAGGGAUGGGUGAAAUGCAGAGAAUGAAUUUCGCAAUAUGUAUGUGUAUAUGUGACAAUAAACUACCUUCUACAUGUAAA